rnacentral:lncRNA from 1 species
AACGCUUCUUUCAACAGCAGCAACAGUUAGUUAGCCACCUCGGUAGUUUGCUAGCCUAAAUAGCCGAACCAAUAAAGCUCUUUAGACGCUUUUAUGUAUAUUAGCCACUGUGUUUUCAACCAUCUUCUGUCGUCUAGUUAGUUAUCAGAUUUCAUUUCAUAUUUACGGUGUUGUUGUUUUUAGUCAGUUAGCGGGCUGGUUAAAUUAGCAUUAUCCUAGAUAGCUAGCAUUCCCGACCAUGCGGUCACUAAGCUACUCUCCUCCUGCUAAAGAAGAGGAGGAUGUCACAGUAAAACAAGAAGUAGAGGGUGAGGCCGUUACUGUGAAAUAAGAAAAAGACUCGUUCAGAGUGAAAGAGGAGGAGGAUGUUACAGUAAAAGGAGAGGAGGAUGCAGUUUAUGGAGUGAAAGAGGAGGGGGAGAUGACUGUUACAUCGAAAAAGGAGGAGGAAGAAGAGGAGGAAACUGGAUAUCUGUGCUCGAUUUCCCAAAUGCAUCUUAAGGUGUCCGAUGGUUCUAACGGUGAACUUAGCCAUAAAAUGGUUUUGAGAAACCGUUCCCUGAUUAAUACUAACACACAAAUGACUUGAAGUCAUAACUAGAGGGAGCCAAGCAUCACUAUAACCUAACCAGAGGGAGCCGGUCAUCAACGUAACCUGGCCAGAGGGAGCCGGUCGUCAACGUAACCUGGCCAGAGGGAGCCGGUCGUCAACGUAACCUGACCAGAAGGAGCCAGUCAUCAACGUAACCUGACCAGAGGGAGCCAGUCGUCAACGUAACCUGACCAGAGGGAGCCGGUAAAAAACAAUCAAUCUAUCAUAAUCACUAGUUAACUACACAUGGUUGAUGAUAUUACUAGUUUAUCUAGCGUGUCCUGCGUUGCAUAUAAUCGAUGCUGUGCACAUUCACGAAAAAGGACUGUCGUUGCUCCAACGUGUACCUAACCAUAAACAUCAAUGCCUUUCUUAAACUCAAUACACAAGUAUAUAUUUUUAAACCUGCAUAUUUUGUUAAUAUUGCCUGCUAACAUGAAUUUCUUUUAACCAGGGAAAUUGUGUCACUUCUCUUGCAACCAAGUCAGGGUAUAUGCAGCAGUUUGGGCCACCUGGAUCGUUGCGAGCUGUGUGAAGUCUAUAUCUUCCUAACAAAGACAGCCAACUUCGCCAAACGGGGGAUGAUUUAACAAAAGCGCAUUUGCGAAAAAAGCACAAUCGUUGCACGACUGUACCUAACCAUAAACAUCAAUGCCUUUUUUUAAAUCAAUACACAGAAGUAUAUAUUUUUAAACCUGCAUAUUUAGCUAAAAGAAAUCCAGGUUAGCAGGCAAUAUUAACCAGGUGAAAUUGUGUCACUUCUCUUGCGUUCAUUGCACGCAGAGUCAGGGUAUAUGCAACAGUUUGGGCCGCCUUGCUCGUUGC